GCAAGUUCAAAUGUGGUGGAAGUUCUGGUAGCGGUGAAGGCGGUGCUGGUAGAGGAGGCUCACCUUCACCAAGGAAAAGACCUCCAGUUGGAAGGCCGUCAGCACCAAAACCUGCUCCUACUAGAAGGCCGUUUGUUAAACCUUCUCCUCCACCACCCACUUCCAAGUCUUCGUCUUCUAGCAGAUCACAUCCUCCACCACCCCCAACGAGGUCGUCUUUCCACCCUCCACCUUCGCCGCCUCCACCCACUGAAAGGGUCUCACCCAAAACACGUCUCCCACCACCACCCCCUCCAGUAGAGCAUUCAUCACCUACUUAUCAUCACGUACCACCACCACUGCCACCUCCACCAUGCCAUUACCAUUCUUACGCUCCACCACCGCCAAAAGAAAAGGUUUCACCAAGUACUCAUCAAGCUCCACCCCCACCACCACCGCCACCGCCACCAGUUGAGUACCAUCCACCUCCCUAUCAACAUGAAGCAUCACCACCGCCACCACCUGUCGAGUACCACCCACCUCCCUAUCAAUACAAUGCACCACCAUCGCCACCACCUGUCGAGUACCAUUCGCCCCCAUAUCAACACAGUGAACCACCACCGCCACCACCUGUCGAGUACCAUUCACCCCCAUAUCAACACAAUGCAACGCCGCCG
rnacentral:misc_RNA from 1 species